CCCUUAGAUGUUCUGGGCCGCACGCGUGCUACACUGAGUGGAUCAGCGGGUCAGGUUGCGCGAAAGCGUUUCCUAAUCUUUAAAUCCGCUCGUGAUGGGGAUUGACGGUUGCAAUUUUCUGUCAUGAACGAGGAAUACCUUGUAAGCGCGGGUCAUCAUCCCGCGCUGAAUACGUCCCUGCCCUUUGUACACACCGCCCGUCGCUCCUACCGAUUGGGUGUGCUGGUGAAAUGUUCGGAUCGGCCGUUUGUCGCGGUUUCCGCGUCAUGUGGCUGAGAAGUUCAUUAAACCCUCCCACCUAGAGGAAGGAGAAGUCGUAACA
rnacentral:rRNA from 1 species